GAACAGGGGUCGUUGUACCGGUGUCACGUGUAUGUAAGGGGAAAACCUGGUCUCGUGUGUCAGAAAGAUAGGUAAUUAAUUGUGAGCUGUGGAAAAGAGUUCGAGAGUAGAGGUUGGAAAAAUAAAUUUGGGUGGAUCUUUUCGCUUCGGGGGGUUUGUAGGGAGGAGAGGAGACGGAGAGCGUCUCAGUGGUUAGAGUGAGGGGGUGGGUUGGUUUUCGGUUUUGCGUGUGGCGGUGCCGGUAAUGGUGCCGCUCAAUACCUGCGGCCGCGCGAGGUCGAGCGGCGGCGGCGGCAACGGUAGCAGCAGCGGCGCAACCAUACGUCUACCAAGGAACACCGCACGCGCCAGCCCCAGGCCUUCGUCUCCGGCGCCGAGGGCGGCCCGUCGUGCCCCGACGGGGACUAGCCGCUCUGCGACGCCGACUAGAGGCGCAUGUUCUGCGGGCUGGGCCUCGGGAAGUAACUGCUCGCGCACCGCGCCGUGCCCCCGCACAAGUGGUGGGUGUAGAAGCCGCUCGCGUGGCACAAGAGGCGGCUGGGCCGGAAGUUGGCGGAGGAGGAGCGGCGGCUCCCGGCGCGGCACUCGACGUCGAUGGGAAGGAGGUAGUGGUGCGAGGAGCCGCGCGCGAGGGACGAGGAGUGCGCCCCGUGGCGGGUGUUCGCGGAGGUGAGCGAGUGGGAGUGGGCGGAGCCCGCGGGGCGGAGCGUCGGGGACGAGCGCGUGUAGCUCGCGGAGCACGAGCGGUGGUACGCGGUCACCCUCGGGUGGCGGUGGCACGCAGAGGAGCUGCUCCGUUUCUUCUAGUGGAAGUUGGAGUGGCAGUUCGUCGAGCAGUCGUAGCUCGGGCCCGGGACCUGGCUCUCGGAGGCGGCGCUUAUGCAGUUCGAGUAGCUGCCGAAGAAGAGGUAGGGGAAGGGAAAGCGGAGUAAGGAGGGGAAGUGGUGGAUGCCGGUCCGGGAGUUCAGCUCCUUCUUCCACCGGCCUCGCAACUCCCUCCACUAUUCCUUCUCCUACCUCCUCUCUCCUCUCCUCUUUCCUCACUUCCUCCUCUACCUGCCCUUCUCCCUCUUCUUCCUGUACCACCUCCUCGAAGAACUCCGCCUCCCACCCUCGAAGAGCCUCCUCCUCUACCACCUGAAGACGGACAGGGACGAACAACGACCCAUGCUCUGGUGGAGGCAGGAGUACUGCCACCGGCAGUUCAAGGAGUGUCUCUGCGGCCGCCGCGACCGUGUCGAGUUCCUUCUCGUACUUUUAUACUGUUUCUACUUUCCACUUUUAGUUGAGGAUCUCACCCAGCUAAUGUUCAGUUACUGGAAGUGGGUUACACACUAUUUACUCUGUGAAGCACACCGAUUGUAUUAGCCACCCCAUAAAUCCGCUCGUUUGUGACUAUAAGUAAAAUUUCCAAUGUGAUAGGGCUUCCCGACGUUUUAUAAACGAAGCAAGGCUCGACACGUGGAGUUGUUACUUGUGAUACUCUUACGGGCCUGCAAACUGGGUACCUCUACCGUCUCGUUGUUGUUUGAAGUCUUGCUCCAUCCCCGGUUGAAUAAAUGAGGGAAACCGCCACCUGGAGCCAACACGGGACCGAUGCUCGAGCGAGCCCAACAGUAGAGACAAAAGGAGGUAGUAGAACAUUACGCGAAAUCGACCCUUCGCCGGCUCCUUCUAUCCGAGCAGAAGAAAGGGUGGUGAGCUUGGGAGUUUCCUAUAGGCUAGUUAGAGUCCGCCGCUGGCCUCAGACAAACUGCUGGAGUGUUACCAGAAGCCGACGGGAAUAGAACUUUCGCUUUAAUUUGUAUCUACUUCCUUCUCUUUCCUUUAGCCCAUUUUAUCGAUGAUCAGAUGAAAACAAGGAAACACACAUAGUAAACAUUGGACCAUAAAUGUGUUGUCGUUUCAACACGACGAACAUUUUACACACCGGACUUGUCAACCACACAUGGCCAAUGUUCACUGUAAAACAGCGCAUAAACCUAUAUAGGGUUUGAAUACUCUACGCAGCAUGAUAAUAGUCGUUCUACGCAGCGAUUCUUUGCUCUCCUAUGCCGGCAGAGGAGCAUUUUGUGAGAACUCCAUAGCUAGGAACAGUUUGUACAGAGACAGUCGAAUACGAAUAGUGACUGACAGGUAUCACGAACAAAGCCUUACUUGACAAGAAUCAUGUGUUAAAUAAGUAAAUAAUGUGUGCAUGCGUGUCCGUGUAGGCUUGUUGUAGUAUCACCAACUAAAAAAGACAAAUGAACUGUCAGCGAAAAUCUUUGUGGCUAAUGUGUGUGUGAACGUGGUGUGAGUGAUUGUACUAAGUUUUAACUGUUAGUGGAAAGUGACUUUUUUAUUUGUAGUGGAAGGCGACUUUCUUAUAAGACAUAAUUAUUCUGUGAUUUCACAGUUUAGACUCCAUACUAGUGGACACC
rnacentral:rRNA from 1 species